GACGAACGCUGGCGGCGUGCCUAAUACAUGCAAGUCGAGCGGACUUUCAAGAAGCUUGCUUUUUGAAAGUUAGCGGCGGACGGGUGAGUAACACGUGGGCAACCUGCCUGCAAGACGGGGAUAACUCCGGGAGACCGGGGCUAAUACCGGAUAAUAUCUUCCUUCGCAUGAAGGAAGGUUGAAAGGCGGCGCAAGCUGCCGCUUGCAGAUGGGCCCGCGGCGCAUUAGCUAGUUGGUGAGGUAACGGCUCACCAAGGCGACGAUGCGUAGCCGACCUGAGAGGGUGAUCGGCCACACUGGGACUGAGACACGGCCCAGACUCCUACGGGAGGCAGCAGUAGGGAAUCUUCCGCAAUGGACGAAAGUCUGACGGAGCAACGCCGCGUGAGCGAAGAAGGUCUUCGGAUCGUAAAGCUCUGUUGUCAGGGAAGAACAAGUACCGUUCGAACAGGGCGGUACCUUGACGGUACCUGACCAGAAAGCCACGGCUAACUACGUG
rnacentral:rRNA from 1 species